GUGAGGAAUAUUGGACAAUGGGCGCAAGCCUGAUCCAGCCAUGUCGCGUGCAGGAAGACGCAUCUAUGGUGUGUAAACUGCUUUUGUACGGGAAGAAACACUCCCUCGUGAGGGAGCUUGACGGUACCGUAAGAAUAAGGAUCGGCUAACUCCGUGCCAGCAGCCGCGGUAAUACGGAGGAUCCAAGCGUUAUCCGGAAUCAUUGGGUUUAAAGGGUCCGUAGGCGGUUUAAUAAGUCAGUGGUGAAAGCCCAUCGCUCAACGAUGGAACGGCCAUUGAUACUGUUAGACUUGAAUUACAAGGAAGUAACUAGAAUAUGUAGUGUAGCGGUGAAAUGCUUAGAUAUUACAUGGAAUACCAAUUGCGAAGGCAGGUUACUACUUGUGGAUUGACGCUGAUGGACGAAAGCGUGGGGAGCGAACAGGAUUAGAAACCCUGGUAGUCC
rnacentral:rRNA from 1 species